rnacentral:misc_RNA from 1 species
AGCAGCCGCGGUAAUUCCAGCUCCAAUAGCGUAUAUUAAAGUUGUUGCAGUUAAAAGCUCGUAGUUGAAUUUCGGGAUCAAUAUGUUGGUCGUGCCUUGGUACGUACUGGCGUCAUUGAUUUCUACCUUCUGAAGAACCUCGAUGUCAUUAAUUUGGUGUCUUGGGGAAUCAGGACUGUUACUUUGAAAAAAUUAGAGUGUUUAAAGCAAGCUCACGCUUGAAUACAUUAGCAUGGAAUAAUGAAAUAGGACGUUUGAUUCUAUUUUGUUGGUUUCUAGGAUCGACGUAAUGAUUAAUAGGGAUAGUUGGGGGCAUUAGUAUUCAAUUGUCAGAGGUGAAAUUCUUGGAUUUAUUGAAGACUAACUACUGCGAAAGCAUUUGCCAAGGAUGUUUUCAUUAAUCAAGAACGAAAGUUAGGGGAUCGAAGACGAUCAGAUACCGUCGUAGUCUUAACCAUAAACUAUGCCGACUAGGGAUCGGAUGAUGUUAAUUUUUUAAUGACUCAUUCGGCGCCUUACG